AGAGAUUGGAGAGACCCAGAGAAGAGACUACUUUUGUACUAGUAACGCUAUACGAGUUACUACCACUUAAACCUUGAAAAAUCGGAUAUGGCGAUAUGGUGACUAUCGAUCUACAAAGACUUCAUCUUCUCCACCAUGCAAACCAUUUGCAACGACUCCAUAAAAACUUCAAUAUUUGCUGCCAUUUCUCUUCCUCCAACUCUUCCACUAAAUCCUUGUAUCUUAGGAUGGGGUUCUGUAGCCCCAUUCCCCCCUCUUUAUCCCUUAUACUUUCUUCUUCUACCCCUUCUAUGGUUCCCUGGCUUCGCGCUCCUUCACUAAUUCGCUAUUCCCCGUCAAAUUUUAAGAUAAGGUUGAGAUUGACAAGCUGUGGAGAGCUUCUUAAAGUCAAGUUUGAAAAGCAGGGACUUCGGGAAGGUUUAUUGUUGGAAUACAAAAAAGAUUCUGAAAGGGUAUUGCUAGCAGUUGCUCAAAAACCUGAUGGAAAGAAAAAUUGGAUCGUAUCUGAUCAGAAUGGCACGACAUGCUCGAUAAAACCACAACAGAUAACUUAUGUUGUUCCUGGUGUUGAGAAUUUUGACUAUACCCAAAUUCCAGAUUUUUUGCAAAGAGCAGAUGAUAACUUGGAUCCAUCUCUCCUUGAGCUUGCCUGGGUGGAGCUGCUUGAAAAAAAUAAAUCAUUGACUCCUGAGGAGCUGGCAGAGAUCAUUUAUGGUACUGCUGAACCUCUAGAGAGCUAUUGUGCACAUCUCUUGCUCUCAAAAGAUGAGAUAUACUUUUCUACGGUGGAGAGUAAAGGUUAUUUUACUGUUUACACUCCUCGGCCUACUGAUCAGGUUGAGGAACUUUUGAAGAGAAAACUUGUCAAGGAGGCUGCUGAAAAGGAAUUACAGGAGUUCGUACAGCUAUUAUAUAAUGCUAAAUCAAGACCUAUUGAUUCAAAGCCGCCUAGAUCCUCAUGGACUAUGGAAGAUAGAAUCCGUGAUCGUAUUGAGUCUCUUGUUGCUUAUACGGUUGCUGCACAUUGCAGUGAUAGUCAAAAGAGAACUGCUGAGACGAUUCUCGCAGCCAUGGGUUUGGCGAAAACAGCAACGUCAGCAUCAAAUCUCCUCAUAGAUAUUGGUUAUUUUCCAGUGCAUAUUAAUCUUGAUCUGUUAAAGCUGAACAUUCGCACCAAUCACUCAGAAGAUACUGUAGCAGCUGCGGAAAAAUUGUUGUCAGAGUCUUGUGAUAUUGAUCAGAUUUGUAGGAAGGACCUUACGCACAUGAAGGUCUAUGCUAUUGAUGUUGAUGAAGCGGAUGAGCUUGAUGAUGCACUUAGCGCGUCAAGGUUGCAAGAUGGCCGGUUAAAAGUUUGGAUACAUGUGGCAGAUCCAACCUGCUUACUGCAACCUGGAACCAUUCUGGACAAAGAGGCCAUGAGCAGAGGAACUACAAUCUUUCUCCCCACAGCAACUUAUCCUAUGUUCCCAGAGAAGCUUGCUAUGGAAAGAAUGAGCUUAAAACAAGGAGAAAACUGCAAUGCUGUGACAGUAUCUGUUUUGCUGCAUUCUGAUGGCAGCAUUGCUGAGUAUUCUGUUGAAAAUACCAUAAUCAGACCUACCUACAUGCUCACUUAUAAAAGUGCAUCAGAGCUCCUUCAUUUGAAUCUUGAAGAAGAGGCCGAGUUAAAGAUUCUGUUUGAGGCCGCAGCUUUACGUUUGCAAUGGCGCAAACAGCAGGGUGCUGUUGACACCACAACAUUAGAAGCACGUGUCAAAGUGGCAAAUCCCGAUGCUCUAGAACCACAGAUCAAUCUUUAUGUGGAGAAUCAAGCUGACCCUGCGAUGCGCCUUGUUUCCGAGAUGAUGAUUCUUUGUGGAGAGGCUAUUGCUACAUAUGGCUCUUGCAACAACAUUCCUUUACCAUAUAGAGGACAAUCUCAACCAAACGUAGAUGCUUCUGCAUUUUCUCAUCUUCCAGAAGGACCUGUCCGGAGUGCAGCUUUAGUUAAAAUUAUGCGUGCAGCCGAAUAUGAUUUUAGGAAGCCAAUACAUCAUGCUGGUUUGGGAGUUCCUGGUUAUGUUCAGUUCACUUCUCCUAUACGUAGAUACAUGGAUUUACUUGCUCAUUAUCAGGUCAAGUAUUUUAUUAGGGGUGACAACCUCCCUUAUUCGGCAGCUCAGCUAGAAGGGAUAGCUUCAAUAGUUAAUAUGCAACAUAGAGCUGCAAGAAAGUUGUACAGUAACAGUCUCCGGUAUUGGGUAUUAGAAUAUUUGAGAAGGCAGCCAAAGGAAAGAAAGUUACGUGCACUGAUACUCAGGUUUAUUAAAGAUCGCAUUGCAGCAUUGCUUCUGGUUGAGGUCGGGCUGCAAGCUUCAGCAUGGGUAGUAAAGGGUUCCCAAAUCGGAGAUGAAAUUGAAGUCCAGGUAGAGGAAGCACACCCAAGAGACGAUACUUUGUCCCUUAAGCAAGUUGCUGAAUAACGUGGAUCUCAAUUCUCAAGCGCUCAUGUAAUCACCUGAAAGAGAAGAGCUCGUUUCUCAUUCUACUCGGCAAAAUGUGAUGUGCUAGAGAUGAUGACUUUCUUUAGUUAGCAGAUCCUCUGUUAGCUCAUGAUGAUUGUAUUUGGUUAAUCAUCAGCGGCAUCAUUGCCAAAGAAGAUGAGCACUGGUGACUAUUGAUAUGAAUUUGGGUAAUCGGCUUGCUGUAAAUGUCAAGGCUAAAGGAUUUCACAUGAAAAGGCUUACUUAUGGAGGAAUGGAUCCAUUCGCAUCACACAUUCACAGUGAUUUACGAGUUACAACUAUCUUUCGGAGUUUAAUAAUAAGUGAUCCAUGAUUACUGAUUUUGGAGAUGCGCAAGACUUCAUUUAUUUCUGCGGCAACCUUUUGAGAACGACAAAGAACAUUGAAGAAGGUGACACCGGCUACACUUCUAAUUCGAACUUCGAAAAUGUAAGGUCAGGCCAGCUAUACUUGUACAUUGUGUUUCAUAUAGAUCCUUGCCUUUUAGGACACUAGCUGAACAUUUCUAGCUGCUAAGAUUAAGAAUGCUAUUUGUUCGAUCCCGUUGAAUUACAUCCCCUUAUAUUGAUGAAUAUGGGUGUACCUUGUACAGUGCUGCUUGAGACUGUUGCUGCCUGCGGGCGAACAUUGCUAAGGCUACUACAAUUUGAUACACUAAACUCUUCGAUGUUGUGAUCAUCGCACUAAUGCCUAAGAAGAAAGUCUUAAAAGGAUUCAACUUUUAACGUCUUAUAAAAAUAUAUACAUUACUCUUUUAGUUAAAACCGCCAUGAAGAAAAUACCAUGUAAUUCUUUUUAGCAAAAAUUGAUAAUUGUUUCUUUAUAACCAUUCAUUUUUGUGAUUUAUUGAUUGUCAAAUAAAGACAUAAAACAUUCGAUUUUAAAAUGUCACCUAAGGUCUCAUACCAACUCUUAGAUGAGGGCAAAGUUUCUCUUUUAAUUUUUAGACAUAAAACAUUAAUUUUUUCUUACAUGCCAAAUAAGGUCCUAAAACAUUGUAGUUUAUCUUUAUUAUUAUUGGAUGUGGACUGUUUUCUUGAGGCAAGAGAGGGAGAGAAAUUUGUAUUCUUUUCGGUGGUGAGAAAUUGAUAAUCAAACUCCUAUUACACAGGUGAUAGUGAAAAUCUUCAACAACUUUGAUAACCCAUGAAUUAUUGAAUAGAGUAAACUACGCGAUAAGUGAAAAUUCACUCAAGACCGGGUCGGGUUCUGCAAGACUCCGAUCUAGAUCCUAACUUUUUUAUUGGACUUAGGCCCGGACCCGAAUCAGUAGGGUUUAAAAAUUUUAGACCCGGACCUAGACCCUUAGAGUCUAGAUUUGGGUCCAAAACAAUUUUUUUUUUCAGGAAAUUUUUUUUAAAAUAUAUUACAAUUUUCG